UACAGAGGUCUCGACCGUUGUUCGGAUUCAUUGGGCGUAAAGGGUGCGUAGGCGGUCGGGUAAGUCGGAUGUGAAAUCUCAGGGCUCAACCCUGAAACUGCAUUCGAUACUGCCUGGCUAGGGUACUGGAGAGGAGACUGGAAUUUACGGUGUAGCAGUGAAAUGCGUAGAUAUCGUAAGGAAGACCAGUGGCGAAGGCGAGUCUCUGGACAGUUACCGACGCUGAGGCACGAAGGUCAGGGGAGCAAACGGG
rnacentral:rRNA from 1 species